rnacentral:rRNA from 1 species
AGGUGAUGGACAACAGGUUGAUAUUCCUGUACUACCGAUAACCGUUUGAGAGAAGGGAUGACACAGUAGGAUAAGCUAAGCACACUGUUGGUUAUGUGUGCCCAAGCAUUGAGGCAGUCAAAGUAGGUAAAUCCGCUUUGAUAAUGCUGGGAUGUGAUGGGGAGCGAAAUUUAGUAGCGAAGUAGCUGAUUUCACACUGUCAAGAAAAGUCUCUAUCGAGGUUAAAGGUACCCGUACCGCAAACCGACACAGG